AUUCAUAUAGAUCAUAUUGUAGAUCGUAACACUGAAGAUGUUAAAGAGAUUAUCUUAAUCUGUGAAUA
rnacentral:tRNA from 1 species